rnacentral:lncRNA from 10 species
AUGUCCUUUUUCUGUUCAGCAUCUAAUCUAGGAUCCCACAUGGCAUUUAUUUGUCAUGUCUCUUAGGGCUCCUCUUAUUUUCAACAAUCCCUCAGUCUUUCCUUGUCUUUCAUGACUGACACUGCUAAACAGCACUGAUCAGUUAAUCUACAGACUGUGCCUCAAGUUGGGUUUGUCUGAUAUUUUCUCAUGAUCAGAUUGAGGUUAUUUUGGGGAAAGAUACUUUAGAGGUGAUGUGCCCCUCUCACUGCAUCAAAUCAGAAGGUAUGCUGGUAUU